rnacentral:piRNA from 1 species
UCCACAUCUCUGGAGACGUUAUGGGC